AGAACUAUAAACUGACUACACAGCUCCCUGGCCCGGGAAGGCUAUGAAACAGGCAACAUGGACAAUUUAAAGGUGUACAACAUCCGAGGUUCCAUUUCACCCUCAGGCAGCACGGAGUGGACAAGAGAUGGGGUCUCACUUUGUCACCCAGGCUGGGCUCAAACUCUUGGCUUCAAGCGAUCUUCUUGCCUUGGUCUCCCAAAGUGCUGGGAUUACAGGCUUGAACUACUGUACUCGACUGACUUUUCCUAUUUCUAAUGUCAGCAUGAAGAACACAAGAAGUCAGCUUCAAAGGCAUCCAGCAAUAUCAUCUAUUCUCCACUUUGCUAAAUCUUACCUUUGGCAGAGCCUUCAUGAACAAGAUUGGUACCCAUAUAAAAGAAGCCCGAGAGAGCUAUCUUGACCCUCCUACCAUGUGAAGACACAACAAGGUACCGUCUUAUGAACCAGGAAAUGGGCCCUCACCAGACACCUAAUCUGCUGGUGACUUGAUCUUGGACUUCCCAGCUUCUAGAACUGUGGGAAUUAAAUUUCUAUUGUUUAUAAGCUACCCAGUUUACACUACUUUGUUAUAGCAGCCCAAAAGCACACCCUGUUUCAAGAUUCUGCAUUCAUUUACUCAUUCGUACAUUCAACCAUAUUUUGUUGGGCACCAAUGAUGCCAGGCACUACUCUAGGUGCUCAGGAUACAAUAAUUAACAAGGCAGACAAUGCCCCUGGCUUCAUGGAGAUAAAUGUGUUGAUGAACAGGAAGUAGAUACAGUGGUCAGAGAAGGCUGGAGGAGAGCACAGUUGACCAGAGAUCUGAUGGAAGUGAGAAAGCAAACUAUGGGAAUAUCUGGAAAAAGAGCAUUCCAGGCAGAGGAAUGAGCAAGUGGCAAAGAUCCUCAAAUGCCUAUACUUCCAUGGAAGAAGGCCAGUGAGUGAGGAAAAGAGAGGUAGCAAAGGGGAUCAGAGAGGAUACAGGGAUCCAGAUCUCAAAGGGACUUGUAGGUAAUGGCCAACACUUUGGACUUCAUGUUUUCAGAGUGAUGGAAAGUCCUUACAGCCUUUCCUAGCCCCUAGCUAAGCCUCUAUUGAUUACUUCUCCUUCUUGUGCUCUUAUCACCUGUACUUUUAUUUACCAGUUAGUCUAUAUUCCAUGGAUUUCUAUUCAUCUCUUGUGUAUCAAUUCUAUGUCCUCAACUAUGUCUCAACGGCAAGAAUCAGUCAUAUCCUCUUCUGUAUUCCCAGGGCCUGGCACCUAACAGAUGCUCAAUAAAUCUUUCCAUAAGGUGAUAAUGAUGAUGUAAUCUCUUAGAAUCUUUUCUAGCUGUUAAGAUCCAUGAUGCCUUUGAACUCUCUCAACAAACUAGUUUGCACAAUGACUCAGAGGACUGACAUCUUUCUAGAUAUUUUGAGAUUAUAUUCAUGCCACUUUUAGAGUCUCCAUCCAUCAAAUGACUAGAAUGAAUUACAUCAGAGUUUUGUUUAAAUGAAGGCUGUGCCACUUGGAAUGGGAUUCCCUUACAUGGAACUACCUACUAAUAUUUGCACUUUAAGCCACCUGAACCUCAGGAGAGUAAUAAAUUGCUAUUAAAUAAAUGCU
rnacentral:antisense_RNA from 1 species